GGGUUUGUAGUUCAAUUGGUUAGAACGAGGCCACUUAGUAUACUUAGGAGCUUCAUGUGUGUUCGAGUCCCACCAAGCCCA